ACGGGUGAGUAACACGUGGGCAACCUGCCCUUGAGACUGGGAUAACUUCGGGAAACCGGAGCUAAUACCGGAUAAUAUAAGGAACCUCCUGGUUCCUUGUUGAAAGAUGGUUUCGGCUAUCACUUAAGGAUGGGCCCGCGGCGCAUUAGCUAGUUGGUGAGGUAACGGCUCACCAAGGCGACGAUGCGUAGCCGACCUGAGAGGGUGAUCGGCCACACUGGGACUGAGACACAGCCCAGACUCCUACGGGAGGCAGCAGUAGGGAAUCUUCCACAAUGGACGAAAGUCUGAUGGAGCAACGCCGCGUGAGUGAUGAAGGCCUUCGGGUCGUAAAGCUCUGUUGUUAGGGAAGAACAAGUGCGAGAGUAACUGCUCGUACCUUGACGGUACCUAACCAGAAAGCCACGGCUAACUACGUGCCAGCAGCCGCGGUAAUACGUAGGUGGCAAGCGUUAUCCGGAAUUAUUGGGCGUAAAGCGCGCGCAGGUGGUUUCUUAAGUCUGAUGUGAAAGCCCACGGCUCAACCGUGGAGGGUCAUUGGAAACUGGGGAACUUGAGUGCAGAAGAGGAAAGUGGAAUU
rnacentral:rRNA from 1 species